rnacentral:tRNA from 1 species
GAACCCGUGGCACAGUGGUAGCGCGUGAGAUUCCAGAUCCUCAAGGUCAUCCGUUCGACCCGGGUCGGGUUCA